GUGCUUCGGCAGCACAUAUACUAAAAUUGAAAUGAUACAGAGAAGAUUAGCAUAGCCCCUGCGCAAGGAUGACACGCAAAUUCGUGAAGUGUUCCAUAUUCUG
rnacentral:snRNA from 1 species